ensembl:lncRNA
UUGAAAUCCACCGGUUCCUCUUCCAGUCCUCCACCCAGGCUGGCAUCCCAACUUUGCUGUCCCUCACUGGUCGCUUCAGUUCACAGAAAAGUCUCAUCUCAGAUUUAUGAACCUCUGAAGGCCGUGAGGAAUUCAUCACCAUAGUUCAAAUGGUGAACAAUGGACAGCACGGCAGUUCAACCUACAGUCUAACCUACACCCACCCUCGUUAUUACACAACAACGCUAUUUCUUCAUAACUCAGGGAGGUUAAACUUCCAAGCAAACGGUCAUUUGAGUCAGGAACCGUACAGCUCAUGGCACCCAGCUCUCUGCUUUUACAGAUCAGGAAACCGUGGCCCAGAGAGGUUGAGUGACUUCCCCCAGAUCACACAGAGAAAAAAAGAAAUAGAACUCAAGCCCCAGUGUCUGAUCUCUUUCUCUCCUCCCUUGGGACUCAGGGAAUCACAGUUCUAAUUUUGCUCCUCCCACGGGGAGCCUCGGUUUCCCCCUUCUGGCUGGUGAGGUCAGUCUUUGCCUCUCCCCACACCUUUGUCCUAGGUGUGCUAUGAACUCUAAUGAGUUAACAUGUCUCAGAGCCUACGGAACCUCGCAGGAGAUAUAAUUACAGAGAAUUAGCCUCCACGGUCUUCUGGGAAGGAUUUCGGCGGGGAGUAGGAGGACACCGCCCUAACUGCUAAGCCCAGCGAUCCACAGGCUGUUGUGGGAUUGUUGCACUAAACUGUCACUUCCUCCUCUUGUGACCUUGGGGGAUCAACCUGGACCCCAGGACCAAGACCAGCUGAGCCAGUCGCCGGAGAACGGAGGGCGGGUGCAAGGGCUUCCCUGGAGGCUCAGCUGCUAGAGAAUUCGCCUGCAGUACAGGAGACCCCGGUUUGAUUCCUGGAUCAGGAAGAUCCCCUGGAGAAAGGAUAGGCUACCCACUCCUGUAUUCGUGGAC